GCCAGCAGCCGUAUCGCCCUGUAACUCAAUACUGGCAAAUUAUUGAAGCUAAGCAGAUAUGAGCCUGGUCAGUACCUGGAUGGGAGACCUCCUGGGAAAAACUAAGGUUGCUGCUGGAA
ensembl:rRNA 5S_rRNA 5S ribosomal RNA